UGCUAAAAGAUGUAAGAGGCAUAGGAGAUUUUGAUUUUCAAUGGUUAAGUUUAAUUCUUAAUUUAGCAA
rnacentral:tRNA from 1 species